rnacentral:rRNA from 1 species
AUUCCAGCUCCAAUAGUGUAUAUUAAAGUUGUUGCAGUUAAAAAGCUCGUAGUUGGAUUUCUGGCGGGAGCGAUCGGUCCUUCACUCAGUGUUGGAACCUGAUUGUCUCCUGCCAUCCAUGGAGAAAACUUAUCUGGCAUUAAGUUGUCGGGUAGGCAAUCUCCAUCUUUUACUGUGAAAAAAUUAGAGUGUUCAAAGCAGGCUUAUGCCGUUGAAUAUAUUAGCAUGGAAUAAUAAGAUAGGACUUUGGUACUAUUUUGUUGGUUUGCAUACCAAAUUAAUGAUCAACAGGAACAGCUUGAGGAUAUUCGUAUGAACAUGUCAGAGGUGAAAUUCUUGGAUUUUGAUCAGACGAACUACUGCGAAAGCAUUUAUCAAGGAUGUUUUCAUUA